rnacentral:rRNA from 1 species
CCUACGGGAGGCAGCAGUGGGGAAUAUUGGGCAAUGGGCGCAAGCCUGACCCAGCAACGCCGCGUGAAGGAAGAAGGCUUUCGGGUUGUAAACUUCUUUUGACAGGGAAGAGCAGAAGACGGUACCUGUCGAAUAAGCCACGGCUAACUACGUGCCAGCAGCCGCGGUAAUACGUAGGUGGCAAGCGUUGUCCGGAUUUACUGGGUGUAAAGGGCGUGUAGCCGGGCUGACAAGUCAGAUGUGAAAUCCGGGGGCUCAACCCCCGAACUGCAUUUGAAACUGUUUUUCGUGAGUACCGGAGAGGUCAUCGGAAUUCCUUGUGUAGCGGUGAAAUGCGUAGAUAUAAGGAAGAACACCAGUGGCGAAGGCGGAUGACUGGACGGCAACUGACGGUGAGGCGCGAAAGCGUGGGGAGCAAACAGGAUUAGAUACCCCUGUAGUC